rnacentral:rRNA from 1 species
CCUGUAAGCUAUCGCCUGAAGAGGGGUUUGCGUCUGAUUAGCUGGUUGGAGGGGUAACGGCCCACCAAGGCGACGAUCAGUAGCCGGUCUGAGAGGAUGAACGGCCACACUGGAACUGAGACACGGUCCAGACUCCUACGGGAGGCAGCAGUGGGGAAUCUUCCGCAAUGGGCGAAAGCCUGACGGAGCAACGCCGCGUGAGUGAUGACGGCCUUCGGGUUGUAAAACUCUGUGAUCCGGGACGAAAAGGCAGAGUGCGAAGAACAAACUGCAUUGACGGUACCGGAAAAGCAAGCCACGGCUAACUACGUGCCAGCAGCCGCGGUAAUACGUAGGUGGCAAGCGUUGUCCGGAAUUAUUGGGCGUAAAGCGCGCGCAGGCGGCUUCCCAAGUCCCUCUUAAAAGUGCGGGGCUUAACCCCGUGAUGGGAAGGAAACUGGGAAGCUGGAGUAUCGGAGAGGAAAGUGGAAUUCCUAGUGUAGCGGUGAAAUGCGUAGAGAUUAGGAAGAACACCGGUGGCGAAGGCGACUUUCUGGACGAAAACUGACGCUGAGGCGCGAAAGCGUGGGGAGCAAACAGGAUUAGAUACCCUGGUAGUCCACGUCGUAAACGAUGGAUACUAGGUGUAGGAGGUAUCGACCCCUCCUGUGCCGGAGUUAACGCAAUAAGUAUCCCGCCUGGGAA